rfam:Gorilla gorilla gorilla genomic chromosome, chr16, whole genome shotgun sequence
GCCGGGUGUGGUGGUGCACGCCUGUAAUCCCAGCUACUCGGGAGGCUGAGGCAGGAGAAUCGCUUGAACCCAGGAGGUGGAGGUUGCAGUGAGCUAAGAUCACGCCACUGCACUCCAGCCUGGGUGGCAGAGUAAGACUCUGUCUCAA